rnacentral:rRNA from 1 species
UACGUAGGGGGCAAGCGUUGUCCGGAUUUAUUGGGCGUAAAGAGCGUGUAGGCGGCCAUUCAGGUCAGCUGUGAAAACUCGAGGCUCAACCUCGAGACGUCGGUUGAAACCGUUUGGCUAGAGUCCGGAAGAGGAGAGUGGAAUUCCCGGUGUAGCGGUGAAAUGCGCAGAUAUCGGGAAGAACACCCGUGGCGAAGGCGGCUCUCUGGGACGGUACUGACGCUGAGACGCGAAAGCGUGGGGGGCGAACAGG